CAAGGCGCCUGUGAAAUGAGAAAUCAUCGGCGUCGUCACGCACAGUUCUACCUUCAGCUAUGCACUGUGGAGAAUUCUUCGUUGCAGUUUUCCAUCGUGGGAGGAAUGAGCUUGCUCCGUCCUCUACUGAGUUAUCGCAUGAUGCACCCCGGGCUUCUCUGAAGAUCGCCUUGAUGAUGACGGCCCCAAUGCUCGUGCUAGAACACUAUAGCCGUCCGUGUUGCAGUUCAGCCUUCACUUUGUGAAACCCAUGGCUGAUCUGUGUCAAUUCGACCGCGACAUCCCCCUCUCUCAUACGAACUGAGGUAAAACCGUUCAAAGGGAGAACCUACUUGGGGUCCACACUCUAUGAAAAUACUGGAUCUGUCUGAGACAUCUGGUAUAUGUUUCUUAAGUCUUAACGUAGUAUUUUUCUAAAUUUGAACCUAUUUCCUGUGAUAUGAAUAUAUUUUGUUUUUUUAAGUUAUUUAUGAUCAUGAACAUCCAAACCUUGAGUUUAACUGUACUCAUGCCCUUUCAUGUGGUUGGUAUGGAGUCUGACAAACUCAUAAAACCUGUGUUGUCAUCACCUCCUUCUCUUUCAUUUUCCAUGGAGACGGGGUUAAACAACGGCACCAUAUUCCUGAAGUUUUCUUUGGCUUCUACCUUUUCCCUAAUGCCAAUCCUUUGGAUCAGUCUUCUAGUAGGAGACAAUGUAAAUCUUUGUUUGAUAAGCCAUCAAAAUUGAACAGAUAUCUGAUAUGUGUUUCUCAUCGUCAGUGCAACAGUUGUCUGUUUUUGUCAUUUUUGUUAUUCGUUGCAGGGCAGAUUCAUCCCCGAAACAAUAUGCAUCGAGAAGAUUAGAACAGCAGAAAAGUUAUUGGCCCAGAGUGGGAGUCAUAAAUUUCUGAAAACAAUUGACAAAGUGCAUGUGUACGUUUUCAGAAAGUGUAUUUGUAUCUUGAGAUUUACGACAUGUUAAUGGUGUUGGUAGGCUCUUGAAGAAACUAAUCGUGCAUUUCAUCAGAAGAAACGGUGUGAAAUAUUGCCACCAAGUAUUCUGAGUCCAUUUUAGACCGUGGGAUCCUCAUGGCGCUGUGCAGACUGUAAACUUGUUCAAUGAGAAUAAUGUUAUUCAUUUGCCAUUCAUCUGCUA